AGUGAACGCUGGCGGUAGGCCUAACACAUGCAAGUCGAACGGCAGCACAGGAGAGCUUGCUCUCUGGGUGGCGAGUGGCGGACGGGUGAGGAAUACAUCGGAAUCUACUUUUUCGUGGGGGAUAACGUAGGGAAACUUACGCUAAUACCGCAUACGACCUACGGGUGAAAGCAGGGGAUCUUCGGACCUUGCGCGAUUGAAUGAGCCGAUGUCGGAUUAGCUAGUUGGCGGGGUAAAGGCCCACCAAGACGAAGAUCCGUAGCUGGUCUGAGGGGAUGAUAAGCCAAACUGGAACUGAGACACGGUCCAGACGCCUACGGGAGGCAGCAGUGGGGAAUAUUGGACAAUGGGCGCAAGCCUGAUCCAGCCAUACCGCGUGGGUGAAGAAGGCCUUCGGGUUGUAAAGCCCUUUUGUUGGGAAAGAAAUCCAGCUGGUUAAUACCCGGUUGGGAUGACGGUACCCAAAGAAUAAGCACCGGCUAACUUCGUGCCAGCAGCCGCCGUAA
rnacentral:rRNA from 1 species